AUUCAGCUUUUGAUCUGUUAAUAACAAGUCGUGUGAGCCUCAAAACCAUCACGGUUUGUGACACUCAGGUCGAGGGUGCACUUUCGUGCCAGCUGGUUAACAUCAAUUUCGAUUGUCAUAAAAAAGCUGGAGGUAUAAGUCUCUUUUGGGAGUGUUAUAAUCUAGCAGAAUGUGGUGGUCGGGAUUGAGGAUUGCAACGGAUACCUUUAGGGCUGCUCCACUCUAUCUUUCUUUGGACAUAUUAGAGUGUAAGCAAAUUCGUUAAGGAUGUUAACGUA
rnacentral:rRNA from 1 species